rnacentral:rRNA from 1 species
AUGGGCCGCAAGCUCGCGCUGCUGGUGGGCAUCAACUACCCGGGCACCAAGGCCGAGCUCAGGGGCUGCCACAACGACGUUGACCGCAUGCACCGCUGCCUCGUCGACCGGUUCGGCUUCGACGAGGACGACAUCCGCGUCCUCGUCGACCGCGACGGCUCCCCCGGGCCGCCGCCCACCGGCGCCAACAUCCGCCGCGCGCUGGCCCGGCUCGUCGGCGCCGCGUGCCCCGGGGACUUCCUCUUCUUCCACUUCAGCCGCGGCUGCCGGCCGAGACCGGGCAGGACGACGACACGGGGUACACGAGUGCAUCGUGCCCAGCGACAUGAAUCUCAUCACAGGUUCGACCAUGAUGAUGUGAGUGAACUGGUUCAGAAGGUGCCCGAUGGUUGCAUAUUUACCAUUGUCUCUGACUCAUGCCCAGGCCCCGGUGGCCUGCUUGAGAAGGCCAAGGAGCAGAUAGGCGACAGCACCAGGGAGAGUGAGACCCAGUCCGGUGAACCCGAAGAGCCAUCUGAUUCGCCAACUGGCUUCCGGUCCUUCCUCAAAGCCACUGUCCGGGACGUGUUCAAGUCCAAUAGCCACCGCUUCCGAAGCCGAUACGGAGGUGAGGAGGAGGAGGAGGAGGCGGAUGCACAAGUAGACGUAGAAGCAGCUGAGGACGGCGGCCACACCAAGAGUCGGUCGCUGCCGCUGUCAACACUCAUCGAGAUGCUCAAGCAGCAGAGCGGGAAGGACGACGUGGACGUGGGCUCCAUCCGGAUGACGCUGUUCAACGUCUUCGGGGAGGAUGCCAGCCCAAAGAUCAAGAAGUUCAUGAAGGUCAUGUUUCUCAAGUACUGUGAGGGCAAGCUAGACGAGCAGGACGGCGUGAUGGGCAUGGUCGGUGGCCUGGCCUACAAGCUCCUCAAGGCCAAGCUUGAAGGCGGCGACGAGAAGGGGGAUGCUUUGAGGCCGGCGAUGGAGCAGGAGGUUGGCGGGGAAGAGGAGGUGUACGCGGGGACCAAGUCCUGGGCGCCCAGCAACGGCGUCCUCGUCAGCGGGUGCCAGAGCAGCCAGACGUCGGCGGAUGCAACCACGACGCAGGGCUCCUCGUUCGGCGCGCUCAGCAACGCCAUCCAGACCAUCCUUGAAGGGGAGGAGGGGGAGGUGACCAACAGGGAUCUCGUCAUGGCAGCGCGGGAGGCGCUGGCCAGGCAAGGAUACGCUCAGCAGCCUGGCCUCUACUGCAGCGAUGAGCUCCUCCAUGUGGCUUUCAUUUGCUGA